rnacentral:rRNA from 1 species
CCUACGGGAGGCAGCAGUGAGGAAUAUUGGUCAAUGGAUGAGAGUCUGAACCAGCCAAGUAGCGUGAAGGAUGACUGCCCUAUGGGUUGUAAACUUCUUUUAUAUGGGAAUAAAAUGUUCCACGUGUGGGAUUUUGUAUGUACCAUAUGAAUAAGGAUCGGCUAACUCCGUGCCAGCAGCCGCGGUAAUACGGAGGAUCCGAGCGUUAUCCGGAUUUAUUGGGUUUAAAGGGAGCGUAGGUGGAUUGUUAAGUCAGUUGUGAAAGUUUGCGGCUCAACCGUAAAAUUGCAGUUGAAACUGGCAGUCUUGAGUACAGUAGAGGUGGGCGGAAUUCGUGGUGUAGCGGUGAAAUGCUUAGAUAUCACGAAGAACUCCGAUUGCGAAGGCAGUUCACUGGACUGCAACUGACACUGAGGCUCGAAAGUGUGGGUAUCAAACAGGAUUAGAUACCCCAGUAGUC